rnacentral:rRNA from 1 species
GAUGAACGCUGGCGGCGUGCUUAACACAUGCAAGUCGAACGGAAAGGCUCCUGCUUGCAGGGGUACUCGAGUGGCGAACGGGUGAGUAACACGUGGGUGAUCUGCCCUGCACUUCGGGAUAAGCCUGGGAAACUGGGUCUAAUACCGGAUAGGACGAUGGUUUGGAUGCCAUUGUGGAAAGUUUUUUCGGUGUGGGAUGAGCUCGCGGCCUAUCAGCUUGUUGGUGGGGUAAUGGCCUACCAAGGCGUCGACGGGUAGCCGGCCUGAGAGGGUGUACGGCCACAUUGGGACUGAGAUACGGCCCAGACUCCUACGGGAGGCAGCAGUGGGGAAUAUUGCACAAUGGGCGCAAGCCUGAUGCAGCGACGCCGCGUGGGGGAUGACGGCCUUCGGGUUGUAAACUCCUUUCGCUAGGGACGAAGCGAAAGUGACGAUACCUGGAGAAGAAGCACCGGCUAACUACGUG